rnacentral:rRNA from 1 species
CCUACGGGAGGCAGCAGUGGGGGAUAUUGCACAAUGGGGGGAACCCUGAUGCAGCGACGCCGCGUGGGUGAAGAAGCGCCUCGGCGCGUAAAGCUCUGUCAGCAGGGAAGAAAAUGACGGUACCUGAAGAAGAAGCCCCGGCUAACUACGUGCCAGCAGCCGCGGUAAGACGUAGGGGGCAAGCGUUAUCCGGAUUUACUGGGUGUAAAGGGGGCGCAGACGGCGAUGCAAGCCAGGAGUGAAAGCCCGGGGCCCAACCCCGGGACUGCUCUUGGAACUGCGUGGCUGGAGUGCAGGAGGGGCAGGCGGAAUUCCUGGUGUAGCGGUGAAAGGCGUAGAUAUCAGGAGGAACACCGGUGGCGAAGGCGGCCUGCUGGACUGCAACUGACGUUGAGGCCCGAAAGCGUGGGGAGCAAACAGGAUUAGAUACCCGGGUAGUC